rnacentral:misc_RNA from 1 species
GAUGAAGAACGCAGCGAAAUGCGAUACGUAAUGUGAAUUGCAGAUUUCAGUGAAACAUCGAAUCUUUGAACGCACAUUGCGCCCGCCAGUAUUCUGGCGGGCAUGCCUGUUCGAGCGUCAUUUCAACCAUCAAGCCUUCGCUUGUGUUGGGGCCCCGCGGCUGCCGCGGUCCCCUAAAUCCAGUGGCGGGCUCGUCGUCGUACCGAGCGCAGUAGACAUCCUCGCUCCGGGAACCCGACGGGUGCCGGCCGUGAAACCCCCCACAUCAAGGUUGACCUCGGAUCAGGUAGGAAUACCCGCUGAACUUAAGCAUAUCAAUAAGCGGAGGA